AUUGAACGCUGGCGGCAUGCUUUACACAUGCAAGUCGAGCGGUAACAGGCCUUCGGGUGCUGACGAGUGGCGAACGGGUGAGUAAUGCAUCGGAACGUACCCAGAGGUGGGGGAUAACGCAGCGAAAGCUGUGCUAAUACCGCAUGUGAUCUGAGGAUGAAAGCGGGGGACCGAGCAGCAAUGUUUGGCCUCGCGCCUUUGGAGCGGCCGAUGUCGGAUUAGCUAGUUGGUGGGGUAAAGGCCUACCAAGGCGACGAUCCGUAGCUGGUCUGAGAGGACGACCAGCCACACUGGAACUGAGACACGGCCCAGACUCCUACGGGAGGCAGCAGUGGGGAAUUUUGGACAAUGGGCGAAAGCCUGAUCCAGCAAUGCCGCGUGCGGGAAGAAGGCCUUCGGGUUGUAAACCGCUUUUGGCAGGAACGAAACGGUGUCCGCUAAUACCGGGCGCUAAUGACGGUACCUGCAGAAUAAGCACCGGCUAACUACGUG
rnacentral:rRNA from 1 species